UUUCAAGAUUAAUGCCACUCUUGCUAUGGAGCUCCCCUCAAAAUGCAAUCUUAAUUCUCCAAAUUGUGCUUAAUUAAUUAAUGAUCGUAUUGACUACCCCUUUCACUUAAUGUUAUUGUUCUGGUUCAAUAUCUAUUGGCCUUUUUGUUUCUUUUUGUUCUUGGAAGUGUAAACGUUCCUAGUGUCACCUUUCUGUCUUUCGUUUUAGUCUUUUCCUUUUUCCUUUCUUUUGUAACUUGGAGUGGCGGGGUUAAGAUCAAUUCCAUGUUAUGACAAGAAUUUGUGUUGAUCAACUUUGUAUGCUUGGUCGCUCAAGAGUUAUGUUAAUAAAGUUUGAUGUUUUGUUUGUUGUUUUAUAUCACAGACAUUUGAUUUGGUUUAA
rnacentral:lncRNA from 1 species